rnacentral:rRNA from 1 species
GGAAACGGGGUCUAAUACCGGAUACUGAUCUGCUUGGGCAUCCAAGUGGUUCGAAAGCUCCGGCGGUGCAGGAUGAGCCCGCGGCCUAUCAGCUUGUUGGUGAGGUAAUGGCUCACCAAGGCGACGACGGGUAGCCGGCCUGAGAGGGCGACCGGCCACACUGGGACUGAGACACGGCCCAGACUCCUACGGGAGGCAGCAGUGGGGAAUAUUGCACAAUGGGCGAAAGCCUGAUGCAGCGACGCCGCGUGAGGGAUGACGGCCUUCGGGUUGUAAACCUCUUUCAGCAGGGAAGAAGCGAAAGUGACGGUACCUGCAGAAGAAGCGCCGGCUAACUACGUGCCAGCAGCCGCGGUAAUACGUAGGGCGCAAGCGUUGUCCGGAAUUAUUGGGCGUAAAGAGCUCGUAGGCGGCUUGUCACGUCGGUUGUGAAAGCCCGGGGCUUAACCCCGGGUCUGCAGUCGAUACGGGCAGGCUAAAGUUCGGUAGGGGAGAUCGGAAUUCCUGGUGUAGCGGUGAAAUGGCA